rnacentral:rRNA from 1 species
UACGAAGGGGGCUAGCGUUGCUCGGAAUUACUGGGCGUAAAGCGCACGUAGGCGGCUUCUUAAGUCGGUGGUGAAAUCCUGGAGCUCAACUCCAGAACUGCCUUCGAUACUGGGAAGCUUGAGUCCGGGAGAGGUGAGUGGAACUGCGAGUGUAGAGGUGAAAUGUGUAGAUAUUCGGAAGAACACCAGUGGCGAAGGCAGCGAACUGGCGCUCGAUUGACGCUCAGGCACGAAAGCAUGGGGAUCAAACAGG